CGAACACUCCAGAACACUUCCAGGCUGAAAAGGCAAUAGACCCAUUGAAGACCCUCUCCAGUGUGUCUGGUAGGCCUACUCCUAAGAAAAUGAAGCAGACUUUGUCGUUGGGAUGACUACGUUGUUUUACCACCAUCCAGUGGAAGCUGGUUUGUUUCUGACGAAGCACGUGAGAUAGUCCUUGUUUUCUUAGAACAGUACCUCUCGGUGUAUGAUUCAGAUGAUCGCCAACCACUUUUAAAUGCAUACCAUGACUCGGCUAUUAUGUCAUUGAAAUGUUCUCCGAAAGAAAAUGAUCAGUCAAUGUAUUUAUUAGAACUGUUGUCAAUUUGAAAGGCAUUUAUAGUUAAUUUUACCUUUCGCUUAAAACGUUGGACUCUUACAUGAAAGACAGUCGCAAUCUGAAACGAAUUGAUGAUCCGCAUAAACGUCGUUUUCGAUUACUUCAACAAGGCAAAGUCGAUAUAGUUUCGUUUUUAUCAAAAUUACCAAAGACUUUGCAUGAUCCAAGCAGUUUUGUAGUGGACGUUCCUGUUACAUCGAGUCACCUGAUUGUCAUGUCUGUGACGGGUGUUUUUCGGGAACGAGCGGAAAGGCAUUCUCUGAUACGUUGGUUUCAACGGACAUUCAUCAUCAUUCCUAGCACUGAAGGGGGUUUUUGCAUCGUUAAUUAGCAAUUUCAUAUUUCGUGUGCUACUCCCGAGCAAAUUAUAGCGGCUUUCAAAGAACCAGUCGCUGUUCCUGCAGGACCUCCCACUACAACGUCAUCUGUUCCCGUUUGUGAAACUACAGAAAGUUCUACUCUUGUUGAUCCAGUCGUUCAGCAGCAAAUGGUGGCAUCGUUUGCUGAACAAUCUGCAAUGAAUACGUCUUGGUCAUUGAAGUUUUUAGAAGAAAACGGUUGGGUUUUCGAUCGUGCUGCCCUUGUUUUCACCGAGCUCAAAGCCGCCAACCAGAUCCCGCCACAAGCGUUCAUCAAAUAGUACGGGGAUUGGGAUGUCGGUGAUAUUGUCUUGGAUAUUCUUACGAAUUGUUGGCAUUCAAUAAAAAAUGUUUGCAGUUCAAUGAUACAAACUUGAUUGGAAAUUCGUCAUCUUA
rnacentral:lncRNA from 1 species